UAUAAAGAUUGACCUUGUCUUAUUUUUAUUAGGAAGCUUUAUAAUACAUGGAAUAUUUAUAGAAACGGUAAAGAUAAAAUUUUAAUAAAGCUAUUUUUAAUAAAUAGCUUUAUUAAAAAUAGAGGAUUAGUAAAAAUAAUCAUCCUUAAUAAAUUUUUACAACUCCAGUAUUUAAAAUUGUUUUAAUAAUUAAGGUUAGUAACAGAAAGUUUUUAAAAGAUAGCUAAUUUUGUGCCAGCAGCUGCGGUUACACAAAAAUCUUAAAAUAAAAUAUUUGGUAAAAUGUAGUUAAUUUGUUAAAGUGAAAAUUAAGAACUUUUUAAGGUAAAAUUUUUAUAAUUUCUUUAUAUCUUAUUUCACUUAAAAGGAUCUACUAAGAUAAAGACAAAAACUAGGAUUAGAUACCCUAUUAUUCUUUAUUUUAAAUAAUUUAACCAGAGGACUACGAGAUUAUUCUUAAAACUCUAAAGGUUUGGCGGUGUUUUAUUUUUCUAGGGGAACCUGUCCUGUAAUCGAUAAUCCACGAAAACCUUACUUUUUCUUGUUAAAGCUCAUCUACCUCCGUAAAAGAAACGCCCAAAGACUAAAAUAGUUUCUGCAAAAAAUUUAUUUUCUUAUGGCAGGUAAAAGUGUGGCUUAUGAAAAAGGAGAGAUGGGUUACGAUUUUAAAUUUAAAUAUGAAUUUUUUUUUCUUGAAAAGGGAAAUGAAAGUGUACUUAGUAGUAAUUAGAUUAAAUGAAAUUCUAAUGAAAUAACACUCUAAAACAUGCACAAACCGCCCGUCGCCUUCAUUGGGUUAAAUGAAGUAAGUCGUAACAAGGUGAGGGUAUCGGAAGCUGCUCUCUGUAUCU
rnacentral:ncRNA from 1 species